UACGUAGGGUCCGAGCGUUGUCCGGAAUUACUGGGCGUAAAGAGCUCGUAGGUGGUUUGUCGCGUUGUUCGUGAAAAACUCACAGCUUAACUGUGGGCGUGCGGGGCGAUACGGGGCAGACUUGAGUACUGCAGGGGGAGACUGGAAUUCCAGGUGUAGCGGUGAAAAUGCGUAGAUAUCUGGAGGAACACCGGUGGCGAAGGCGGCAUCCUGGACCGAUACUGACGCUGAGGAGCGAAAAGCCAGGGGGAGCAAACGGG
rnacentral:rRNA from 1 species